rnacentral:rRNA from 1 species
AAUGAACGCUGGCGGCGCGCCUAAUACAUGCAAGUCGAGCGAGAAGACGUAGCAAUACGUUUGUAAAGCGGCGAACGGGUGAGGAAUACAUGGGUAACCUACCCUCGAGUGGGGAAUAACUAGCCGAAAGGUUAGCUAAUACCGCGUACGCUCCUUGGACUUCGGUUCAGGGAGGAAAGCGAUACCGUGGGUAUCGCGCUCUUGGUUGGGCUCAUGUCCUAUCAGCUUGUUGGUGAGGUAACGGCUCACCAAGGCUUCGACGGGUAGCUGGUCUGAGAGGACGAUCAGCCACACUGGCACUGCGACACGGGCCAGACUCCUACGGGAGGCAGCAAGUAAGGAAUAUUGCGCAAUGGGCGAAA